rnacentral:rRNA from 1 species
UACGUAGGGUGCAAGCGUUGUCCGGAAUUAUUGGGCGUAAAGAGCUCGUAGGCGGUCUGUCGCGUCUGCUGUGAAAACUCAGGGCUUAACCCUGAGCUUGCAGUGGGUACGGGCAGACUAGAGUGCGGUAGGGGAGACUGGAAUUCCUGGUGUAGCGGUGAAAUGCGCAGAUAUCAGGAGGAACACCGGUGGCGAAGGCGGGUCUCUGGGUCUCUCCUGACGCUGAGGAACGAAAGCUAGGGGAGCGAACGGG